UGUUAUUUUCAAAAUAAUUUUAGGUACAAGUAUAUGUGAGCUCACUCAAUAAUCGUGUUAUUUAUUUGGUAUUCUAUCUUUGUUAGUUGAGGCUUUUUAUUGUUGAGAGGCACCCCAAAGUUGGGCAUAUUGACACUGGGGUUAUCACAUGAUUAAUUAGGGUGUAUGUUCAAUCUUUAGUCCUAUUUUAGCUCUUAAAACUCAUGAAUUUCAUUUGCUUAUGCAUUUAAUAAGCGUCGAUGACAAAAUACCUUGAUGUUACUUUGUCAAUUAUUUUACUUCAUUUGCAGGGAACUUGGAGAAGUUAAUACCUUGAUGUUACUUUGUCAAUUAUUUUCCUUCUUUCGCAGGGAACUUGAAAAGGAUGAAUAUUGUCUGACAUCUACUAUUUUGGUGGGAAUCCUGAAGCAAUUGACUUCUGCUCAUAUUACUCUUUUCAUCACAUUUUGUCUGCGGCUACAUAUACAUUACCAGAGGGCAUUCGUUUAAACUGAAAAUAAUAUAUACGCUAUACGAUUAAUAAUUCAUUGUGAAUAAAGAAGUGAUGAAAGUUUUGUUUGUUCCUAUUAUUCCCUCAUACAAUAUGAGAGAAUUUUUGAUUU